AAUUAUGAUUACUAGUAUAAUAAUCCGUACGGUAUAACGAAUCGAUCGAUAAUUAGAAAAAAAAACGACGACAAAAAAAUAGAAAACGAUAAUAAAAGAAACGACGAUAAAGGAUAAGAUUCAUUUUGCCGAUGAAGAAAACUGAAAGAAGAGAAAGAAAAACAGUUCGGUUCAAUAUAGAGAUGUCACCUGAUUCGGUUCAAGCCAAAAAAAAGGUUGUCUUGAUUUGAUUAAAAUAAAGAAAGACCAAAAUCAGGUUCAUUUCAAGCAAAAAAAAGAUAAAAACAUAUAGAAAAUUUCAGCUGGUUCGAGAAAGCCCACAUUUAAUAAAAUUCCGAUGGAAAAAGAAUUUUACGCCCUCCAGAAUUUAAUUUAUAAAAAAAAUAAAUUUUUUUUACAUUUGUUUAGUCUAGUUGAAAAAAAAAUAAAAAAUUAUUAUAUAUAUUUAUUUUUAUUAUAUAUAUUAUAUAUUAGAAAAAACUUCAAAGACCAUUCCUGUGAUUUCGUAUUUUUUAUUUUAUACUUUAUGGUUUAAAGUGUAUCAAUUUAGUACCUGUGAUUUCUUUUUUUUUUUAUUAUUCCUUCCACUAUUUUUUUUCGUUAAAUCAAUGACAAAGUUAAAAUUAAAAGAUAUUAAAGUAAAUAUUCGAUAAACCUAGAUUGGGUAUCUGAAGUUUUUUGUAUAUAAUUUAACGAAAUGUUAACGGAGAACCCGCCGAAAAGAAAAAAAAGAAACCACAGGGUAGUAAUUUGAUGCAAUUUAAACCGCAGGGUAUUAAAGUGAGAAAGUGCAAAAUCAUAAAAGUAGUAUUUGAAGUUUGCCCUACAUAUUAAUAAAUUAUUAUACUAUAUAUAUUAUUAUUAUAUUUUUUUUAUAAAUUAAUAUAUUUAAAAUAUAUUUUACAAUAAGUAUGUAAUAUAAUGCAUAAUUAUACUAUAUUAUAUAUAUAAU
rnacentral:lncRNA from 1 species